GACUACAGCCAUGCCACCCCCGAAUGUGCCCGAUCUUGUCUGAUCUCAGAAGCUAAGCAGGGCCAGGCCUGGUUGGUACUUGGAUGGGAGACCACCUAGGAAGACCAGGUGCUGUAGGCA
rnacentral:rRNA from 1 species